UACGUAGGUGGCAAGCGUUGUCCGGAUUUAUUGGGCGUAAAGGGAGCGUAGGCGGAUGUUUAAGUCAGUUGUGAAAGUUUAAGGCUCAACCUUGAAAUUGCAGUUGAUACUGGAUAUCUUGAGUACAUUGAAUGUGGGCGGAAUUCGUGGUGUAGCGGUGAAAUGCUUAGAUAUCACGAAGAACUCCAAUUGCGAAGGCAGCUCACAGUAAUGUAACUGACGCUGAUGCUCGAAAGUGUGGGUAUCAAACAGGAUUAGAUACCCUGGUAGUCCACACAGUAAACGAUGAAUACUCGCUGUUUGCGAUAUACAGUAUGCGGCCAAGCGAAAGCGUUAAGUAUUCCACCUGGGGAGUACGCCGGCAACGGUGAA
rnacentral:rRNA from 1 species